GCCGGGGUUGCCGAGUGGUAAGGCGCAGGCCUGGAGAGCCUGUACUCCGUUAAGGGGUGCGAGGGUUCAAAUCCCUCCCCCGGCG
rnacentral:tRNA from 4 species